rnacentral:rRNA from 1 species
GACGAACGCUGGCGGCGUGCCUAAUACAUGCAAGUAGGACGCACAGUUUAUACCGUAGCUUGCUACACCAUAAACUGUGAGUUGCGAACGGGUGAGUAACGCGUAGGUAACCUGCCUGGUAGCGGGGGAUAACUAUUGGAAACGAUAGCUAAUACCGCAUAAUAUUGAUUAUUGCAUGAUAAUUGAUUGAAAGAUGCUAUUGCAUCACUACCAGAUGGACCUGCGUUGUAUUAGCUAGUAGGUGAGGUAACGGCUCACCUAGGCGACGAUACAUAGCCGACCUGAGAGGGUGAUCGGCCACACUGGGACUGAGACACGGCCCAGACUCCUACGGGAGGCAGCAGUAGGGAAUCUUCGGCAAUGGACGAAAGUCUGACCGAGCAACGCCGCGUGAGUGAAGAAGGUUUUCGGAUCGUAAAGCUCUGUUGUAAGAGAAGAACGGGUGUGAGAGUGGAAAGUUCACACUGUGACGGUAUCUUACCAGAAAGGGACGGCUAACUACGUG